UUGGAAUUAAAAAUCUUGUACAAAGGGCUAUUGUGGCCGUGUAUAUGGGAAAUGGCCCCACACAUUGUGUGGCCAAUUUUAAAUGGCCCAACACAUUGUGUGGGCCAUGGACACUUAUAGAUAUUUGUGGGGCUUAAAAGAUGAAGACCUAAGUCAUCUUCUCUCACCAUUUCAACACUUAGAAAAAUCAAGACUUGGAGAGCUUCCACCAAACACCCUUCUCGGCCAAGACUUGGGAAAAUCAAGUCCCAUUUCAAGCCACCUUAAAAAUAUUUCUUGGGUACAAAUCAACUAAUUAGAGGUCCCUAAGUAACGUGGAAGCAUUGUUGGAGCAAUCAAGUCAUUUGUUUAAGAGAUCGCAAACCCUAACCCAUUGUGGAAUUGAAGAAGAAAGACCUUGGGGAGACCGAGGCGUAGAUUGAGAUUUACUUUAGAUUGGCUAGCUUGGAGUGCGUACGAGGUACAGACGCACAGUUUGGUGAUCCACCAGUCUAGGACACCCUCUUCUUCCGUUUGGAGUGCUCUUCUCAUUUCAGAGCAUAUAUUUUGGUAUAUAUAUUCGUUCGCUGUGUAUGUAUAUAUUUGUUCAGGGGUACGACGGGGCCCUGUCCCGUCAUAUGUUUCGGUUGGUCUGUUUAGAGAUCUGUAGAAGUAAUUGUGGGUGGGUGUGCCUACUUCUGUACAUAUGUGUUUAUAUGACCCUAUUCGCUAUGGCAGCCUUGUCGGCGUGCAUUUGUAUAUGUUUUGGGCCGUUGUGCCAUUUGAUAGCCUUGUCGGCUUUUGAUACAUUUGAUAUCCUUGCCGACUUUUUGAUAUAUAUAUCCGCGUA